ACUCAAAGGAAUUGACGGGGGCCCGCACAAGCGGUGGAGCAUGUGGUUUAAUUCGACGCAACGCGAAGAACCUUACCUGGGCUUGACAUGCUGGAGAAAGCCCCCAGAAACGGGGGCCCCUCUUCGGAGUUCCAGCACAGAUGCUGCAUGGCUGUCGUCAGCUCGUGUCGUGAGAUGUUGGGUUAAGUCCCGCAACGAGCGCAACCCUCAUCCCUAGUUACCAGCGGGUAAAGCCGGGAACUCUAGGGGGACUGCCGGUGCCAAACCGGACGAAGGUGGGGACGACGUCAAGUCAUCAUGGCUCUUACGUCCAGGGCUACACACGUGCUACAAUGGGCCAGACAAAGGGCUGCCAACUCGCGAGAGGGAGCCAAUCCCAUAAACUGGUCCUCAGUUCGGAUUGCAGUCUGCAACUCGACUGCAUGAAGCUGGAAUCGCUAGUAAUCGUGGAUCAGCUACGCCACGGUGAAUACGUUCCCGGGCCUUGUACACACCGCCCGU
rnacentral:rRNA from 1 species